rnacentral:rRNA from 1 species
GGCGGGGGUCUACACAUGCAGUCGAGCGGACAGAAGGGAGCUUGCUCCCGGAUGUUAGCGGCGGACGGGUGAGUAACACGUGGGUAACCUGCCUGUAAGACUGGGAUAACUCCGGGAAACCGGAGCUAAUACCGGAUAGUUCCUUGAACCGCACGGUUCAAGGAUGAAAGACGGUUUCGGCUGUCACUUACAGAUGGACCCGCGGCGCAUUAGCUAGUUGGUGGGGUAAUGGCUCACCAAGGCGACGAUGCGUAGCCGACCUGAGAGGGUGAUCGGCCACACUGGGACUGAGACACGGCCCAGACUCCUACGGGAGGCAGCAGUAGGGAAUCUUCCGCAAUGGACGAAAGUCUGACGGAGCAACGCCGCGUGAGUGAUGAAGGUUUUCGGAUCGUAAAGCUCUGUUGUUAGGGAAGAACAAGUGCGAGAGUAACUGCUCGCACCUUGACGGUACCUAACCAGAAAGCCACGGCUAACUACGUGCCAGCAGCCGCGGUAAUACGUAGGUGGCAAGCGUUGUCCGGAAUUAUUGGGCGUAAAGGGCUCGCAGGCGGUUUCUUAAGUCUGAUGUGAAAGCCCCCGGCUCAACCGGGGAGGGUCAUUGGAAACUGGGAAACUUGAGUGCAGAAGAGGAGAGUGGAAUUCCACGUGUAGCGGUGAAAUGCGUAGAGAUGUGGAGGAACACCAGUGGCGAAGGCGACUCUCUGGUCUGUAACUGACGCUGAGGAGCGAAAGCGUGGGGAGCGAACAGGAUUAAAUACC